GCGGGGGAGGGCGAGGGCGCGCCCGAGGCCUCCCCCGGCAACCAAACCCCGGCGCCCCAGGCGCCAAGGAACAGAAAAUGAAAGCGGGGCGCGCCCGCUGGCGGCCCGGGAACGGAGCCGAUCGCCCAGCGUCGCGCGCCUCUUGCCAUUUGUGCAUCCGAAACGACUCUCGGCAACGGAUAUCUCGGCUCUCGCAUCGAUGAAGAACGUAGCGAAAUGCGAUACUUGGUGUGAAUUGCAGAAUCCCGUGAACCAUCGAGUCUUUGAACGCAAGUUGCGCCCGAAGCCGUCAGGCCGAGGGCACGCCUGCCUGGGCGUCACGCAGCGUCGCCAGCGCCCGAUCCCACGGGCGCGGCGGAUGAUGGCCUCCCGGGAGCCUCGCCUCCCGGCUGGCCGAAAAGGGGGCCCAACGUGGCGACCGCCACGAUCCACGGUGGUUGAGGCCGAGACGUGCGCGCGUCGUCCCACCGGUCUUGGGCCCGUCGGCAGAGCACCACAGCUGCCAAGCCCGUACGCGACCCCAGGUCAGGCGGGG
rnacentral:rRNA from 1 species